AUGGCCCCCGUAGCCCCCGCCGCUUCCCCCGCCGCCGCCCCUCCCCCUCCCCCUCCCAGCCCGGCCGGGGAUGAAGGCCCUGACCCGAAUCCCUACCCGCGCCCCUCUCCGACGGUCGUUCUUUUCGCCCCUGCUGCUCCGGCACCGGCGCCGGCCGCUCCGGCCCCUGCUGCUCCGACCCCGGCGCCCGCCGAUCUGGCCCCGGCCGCCCCGCACCUGGCCGCUCCGGCCCCUGCGGCUCCGACCCCGGCGCCCGCCGCUCUGGCCCCGGCCGCCCCGGCUUGGGUGGAGGUUGGGAGACGGCGCCGCCCGAGCCUGGAGAAGGUGGCUGCUCCCCCUCCCAGGAAGGAUGCUGGACUGCCUCGCACUUUCAAGCAGAGGACUUUCGGCCUCUGCUUUCGGUGCUUGGCGUCGGACCACUUCGUCGCGGGUUGCCACGGCCCUGUCCGGUGCUUGGGAUGUGGCCACUCCGGCCAUCGCGAGCGGGAGUGCUUGGCACGGCAUCCUGCCGGUUCAGAACCUUGCCGUCCCCCCGUCGCGCCUACCGGGCCUCGUCAGCGGCCUCCCCCUGCAGCGGAUCGCCUCCCGCCCCACUUCAUCGACCUGGUUGCACUUGGGCUUCGGUGGUUUCUCAUCAAGACAGCCCUGCGACUGGUGGUGUCGUGCCGGCGGCUGACCCCGGCGUGCCUCCUGCUGUUUUGGAGCCCUUGCGGCCUCUCCUUGCAGCUCAGGCGGAGGCGCUCGGCGCUGAGCUACAGGCCUUGUUCGCUGCUCGUCUUGGUGCUGUUCAAGCCUCUUCAAGACUUGGUUGCUGCUGUGGAGAGUUGGACUGCUCAAGUCUCAAGCCUAUGGGAACCUAUGGAAGCUAUCGGGGGCAGCCAAGACCUUGCCAAUGUUGAAUCUGCUCCUCCUGCUGUGGCCGUUGGUGAGGAUUGCAGUGCGCUUGUUGUGGCUGGCUGCUCAGCUGAGUUGAGUGAGAAGGCUCAGUCCGUCGAUGAUCCGCCUGCCUUGGAUAAGGUCAUGGUUGAGGAUGAUCCUCCUGACUUGGCUUCUGUCCUACCCGGGAUGUCGACACUGGAGGAGCCAAAGGUUUCCAGUGCUCCUUGCACCGGGAAGCCUUCAAAGGAGCUGAUCCAGAUGGAUGCAGAUGAGCCUCUUGGGAGAGCCUCCUCUCCGUGGGAGGAGUUCCUCGAAGAGCUUGCUCUCACUGUGUCGAGCUCGCCGCAAGUUUUGCAGGUGGGAGAGGCUGCCCCUUCUCUCUUAGAGCGACGAAGCUGCCGUUUGGACAAGAAAAACAAAGAUUGCGACAUUCCUAUAGCCAAGCGCGCGGAGUAUAGGCGGGCAGAGGCCUUUGGAGAGGUUCCAACACUCAAGAGCAAAGGAAAAGCAUCUGAGGAAGAUCUGAAUGAGAAGAUGCAACACUAUCUGCAGAUGUACAAGAAGGAACACACGCCCAAGGCGAUCGAGGCGGUGCGCGCAUUAGUUCAGGCCAAUGCUUGA
rnacentral:rRNA from 1 species